rnacentral:rRNA from 1 species
GAUGAACGCUGGCGGCGUGCUUAACACAUGCAAGUCGAACGAAGCACUUUAUUUGAUUUCCUUCGGGACUGAUUAUUUUGUGACUGAGUGGCGGACGGGUGAGUAACGCGUGGGUAACCUGCCUUGUACAGGUGGAUAACAGUUGGAAACGGCUGCUAAUACCGCAUAAGCGCACGGCAUCGCAUGAUGCAGUGUGAAAAACUCCGGUGGUAUAAGAUGGACCCGCGUUGGAUUAGCUAGUGGGUGAGGUAACGGCCCACCAAGGCGACGAUCCAUAGCCGACCUGAGAGGGUGACCGGCCACAUUGGGACUGAGACACGGCCCAAACUCCUACGGGAGGCAGCAGUGGGGAAUAUUGCACAAUGGGCGAAAGCCUGAUGCAGCGACGCCGCGUGAGCGAAGAAGUAUUUCGGUAUGUAAAGCUCUAUCAGCAGGGAAGAUAAUGACGGUACCUGACUAAGAAGCACCGGCUAAAUACGUG